AGAGUUUGAUCAUGGCUCAGAUUGAACGCUGGCGCAGGCCUAACACAUGCAAGUCGAGCGGUAGCACAGAGAGCUUGCUCUCGGGUGACGAGCGGCGGACGGGUGAGUAAUGUCUGGGAAACUGCCUGAUGGAGGGGGAUAACUACUGGAAACGGUAGCUAAUACCGCAUAAUGUCGCAAGACCAAAGUGGGGGACCUUCGGGCCUCAUGCCAUCAGAUGUGCCCAGAUGGGAUUAGCUAGUAGGUGGGGUAAUGGCUCACCUAGGCGACGAUCCCUAGCUGGUCUGAGAGGAUGACCAGCCACACUGGAACUGAGACACGGUCCAGACUCCUACGGGAGGCAGCAGUGGGGAAUAUUGCACAAUGGGCGCAAGCCUGAUGCAGCCAUGCCGCGUGUGUGAAGAAGGCCUUCGGGUUGUAAAGCACUUUCAGCGGGGAGGAAGGCGGUGAGGUUAAUAACCUCACCGAUUGACGUUACCCGCAGAAGAAGCACCGGCUAACUCCGUGCCAGCAGCCGCGGUAAUACGGAGGGUGCAAGCGUUAAUCGGAAUUACUGGGCGUAAAGCGCACGCAGGCGGUCUGUCAAGUCGGAUGUGAAAUCCCCGGGCUCAACCUGGGAACUGCAUUCGAAACUGGCAGGCUAGAGUCUUGUAGAGGGGGGUAGAAUUCCAGGUGUAGCGGUGAAAUGCGUAGAGAUCUGGAGGAAUACCGGUGGCGAAGGCGGCCCCCCUGGACAAAAGACUGACGCUCAGGUGCGAAAGCGUGGGGAGCAAACAGGAUUAGAUACCCUGGUAGUCCACGCCGUAAACGAUGUCGAUUUGGAGGUUGUGCCCUUGAGGCGUGGCUUCCGGAGCUAACGCGUUAAAUCGACCGCCUGGGGAGUACGGCCGCAAGGUUAAAACUCAAAUGAAUUGACGGGGGCCCGCACAAGCGGUGGAGCAUGUGGUUUAAUUCGAUGCAACGCGAAGAACCUUACCUGGUCUUGACAUCCACGAGAACUUUCCAGAGAUGGAUUGGUGCCUUCGGGAACUGUGAGACAGGUGCUGCAUGGCUGUCGUCAGCUCGUGUUGUGAAAUGUUGGGUUAAGUCCCGCAACGAGCGCAACCCUUAUCCUUUGUUGCCAGCGGUUAGGCCGGGAACUCAAAGGAGACUGCCAGUGAUAAACUGGAGGAAGGUGGGGGAUGACGUCAAGUCAUCAUGGCCCUUACGACCAGGGCUACACACGUGCUACAAUGGCAUAUACAAAGAGAAGCGACCUCGCGAGAGCAAGCGGACCUCAUAAAGUAUGUCGUAGUCCGGAUUGGAGUCUGCAACUCGACUCCAUGAAGUCGGAAUCGCUAGUAAUCGUAGAUCAGAAUGCUACGGUGAAUACGUUCCCGGGCCUUGUACACACCGCCCGUCACACCAUGGGAGUGGGUUGCAAAAGAAGUAGGUAGCUUAACCUUCGGGAGGGCGCUUACCACUUUGUGAUUCAUGACUGGGGUGAAGUCGUAACAAGGUAACCGUAGGGGAACCUGCGGUUGGAUCACCU
rnacentral:rRNA from 1 species